AGAUUAAGCCAUGCAUGUCUAAGUAUAAACAUUUGUACUGUGAAACUGCGGACGGCUCAUUAAAUCAGUUAUAGUUUAUUUGAUAGUAACUACUACUUGGAUAACCGUGGUAAUUCUAGAGCUAAUACAUGCACUGAAAUCCCGACUUCUGGAAGGGAUGUAUUUAUUAGAUAAAAACCAACCGGCAACCGUCUUGUGAUUCAUGAUAACUUUUCGAAUCGCAU
rnacentral:rRNA from 1 species